rnacentral:rRNA from 1 species
UACGUAGGAGGCAAGCGUUGUCCGGAAUUAUUGGGCGUAAAGCGCGCGCAGGCGGUCCUUUAAGUCUGAUGUGAAAGCCCACGGCUCAACCGUGGAGGGUCAUUGGAAACUGGGGGACUUGAGUACAGAAGAGAAGAGUGGAAUUCCCGGUGGAGCGGUGAAAUGCGUAGAGAUCGGGAGGAAUACCAGUGGCGAAGGCGGCCUGCUGGGCCACGACCGACACUGAGGUGCGAAAGCGUGGGGAGCGAACCGG